rnacentral:rRNA from 1 species
AGAGUUUGAUCCUGGCUCAGAUUGAACGCUAGCGGGAUGCCUUACACAUGCAAGUCGAACGGCAGCACGGACUUCGGUCUGGUGGCGAGUGGCGAACGGGUGAGUAAUGUAUCGGAACGUGCCUAGUAGCGGGGGAUAACUACGCGAAAGCGUAGCUAAUACCGCAUACGCCCUACGGGGGAAAGCAGGGGAUCGCAAGACCUUGCACUAUUAGAGCGGCCGAUAUCGGAUUAGCUAGUUGGUGGGGUAACGGCUCACCAAGGCGACGAUCCGUAGCUGGUUUGAGAGGACGACCAGCCACACUGGGACUGAGACACGGCCCAGACUCCUACGGGAGGCAGCAGUGGGGAAUUUUGGACAAUGGGGGAAACCCUGAUCCAGCCAUCCCGCGUGUGUGAUGAAGGCCUUCGGGUUGUAAAGCACUUUUGGCAGGAAAGAAACGUCAUGGGUUAAUACCCCGUGAAACUGACGGUACCUGCAGAAUAAGCACCGGCUAACUACGUGCCAGCAGCCGCGGUAAUAC